rnacentral:rRNA from 1 species
ACGGGUGAGUAACGCGUGAGGAACCUGCCUUUCAGAGGGGGACAACAGUUGGAAACGACUGCUAAUACCGCAUGAUACGUUUUAGGGGCAUCCCUGAGACGUCAAAGAUUUAUCGCUGAAAGAUGGCCUCGCGUCUGAUUAGCUGGUUGGUGAGGUAACGGCCCACCAAGGCGACGAUCAGUAGCCGGACUGAGAGGUUGACCGGCCACAUUGGGACUGAGAUACGGCCCAGACUCCUACGGGAGGCAGCAGUGGGGAAUAUUGGGCAAUGGGCGCAAGCCUGACCCAGCAACGCCGCGUGAAGGAAGAAGGCUUUCGGGUUGUAAACUUCUUUUAAGAGGGAAGAG